ACCGUAUCUGUGAAGAUGCGCUGAACGCACAGGAGUCAGCAGAGGUCAUAGUAAGCUGAAGCACCGGAUGGUGUAACAGAUGAAGGAC
rnacentral:ncRNA from 1 species